ACGAAAAAUAACGAUACGGGACUCAUCCGAGGCCCCGUAAUCGGAAUGAGUACACUCUAAACCCUUUAACGAGGAUCAAUUGGAGGGCAAGUCUGGUGCCAGCAGCCGCGGUAAUUCCAGCUCCAAUAGCGUAUAUUAAAGUUGUUGCGGUUAAAAAGCUCGUAGUCGAAUUUGUGUCCCGCGCCGCCGGUUCAUCGCUCGCGGUGUCAACUGGCGUGUCCGCGGGACGUCCUGCCGGUGGGCUUAGCUCCGUGCGGGCGGCCCAAUCUCAAUCCCACCGCGGUGCUCUUCACUGAGUGUCGAGGUGGGCCGGCACGUUUACUUUGAACAAAUUAGAGUGCUUAAAGCAGGCUAAAACAUCGCCUGAAUACUGUGUGCAUGGAAUAAUGGAAUAGGACCUCGGUUCUAUUUUGUUGGUUUUCGGAACCCCGAGGUAAUGAUUAAUAGGAACGGAUGGGGGCAUUCGUAUUGCGACGUUAGAGGUGAAAUUCUUGGAUCGUCGCAAGACGGACAGAAGCGAAAGCAUUUGCCAAAAACGCUUUCAUUGAUCAAGAACGAAAGUUAGAGGUUCGAAGGCGAUCAGAUACCGCCCUAGUUCUAACCAUAAACGAUGCCAGCUAGCGAUCCGCCGACGUUCCUCCGAUGACUCGGCGGGCAGCUUCCGGGAAACCAAAGCUUUUGGGUUCCGGGGGAAGUAUGGUUGCAAAGCUGAAACUUAAAGGAAUUGACGGAAGGGCACCACCAGGAGUGGAGCCUGCGGCUUAAUUUGACUCAACACGGGAAACCUCACCAGGCCCGGACACCGGAAGGAUUGACAGAUUGAGAGC
rnacentral:rRNA from 2 species